UUAAAAAUAAGUUAAAUUAAACUUUUAGAUUCAUAAUCUAAUAAUAGAAAUGAAAAUGUUCUUUUUUAUA
rnacentral:tRNA from 1 species